CCCACCUGGAUCCAUUAUGGUGGAUUAGGGCUUGAAAGAAUGUGAGGGCAGGCAGAGGAUUCUGACCAUAGGAUUCUGACCAUAGGAUUCCUAGGCAUCCAUCUUUACUGUUCUUGGAAUCAAUCAUUCAGUUAGCAUCUUCUUCCUGCAGUGUUCUCUGAGCCUCAUCAGCUCACCGUCAGUUUGAACUCAGUCAUCUCCUUUUGCAUGCUCUCAGUCCUUGCAGCCAUUUUCCUUGCCAAGGGAUUUCUGUUCCUGUUGUGUCCCCGUUGUGUGUCCUGUCCUGUCUGUCCUGUGUCACGGGUGUCAGCACACAUUUGUGCCGGGGCUGCUCUGCCCUGCCGCAUAGCCUGGUGCGAUAGGAGAGGGCCCGGGGACUUGGAAUGUGUAAUGUGGGGUGCAGUUGGACUCUAGAUGGGAUUUGUAGAUGGACACAGGACAUCUGGAGCUCUUAAGUUGUCCUGCAACAGUGUGACUCUUGUCCUAACGUUUUUUUCAGAUUCAGAUGAAUUAAAUCUGGGCCAGAGGGCCCCAUCCCGGGUGAGGGGAUUCCCCCGAGCAGGAAGUGAAUCUGGAUAUCAGCAGUCAAGGUGAGCCGUGGAGAGAAGUGGUUGUUAUUGCUCAGCUCUCAAGAACAACACCUUUUUCAUCAGAUUCAUUGUGUCACAAGAGGGAUCUGCCCAGUGUCAAGGAUGAUGUUUGAGAUUGAGGCUUCAGGUGCCAGCCCUAAUAAAGGCCACAGCCUUGGAAUCAGGAUGAAGCUGGAGCCUGAGGGAGCCAGGCACACUCAGGAGAGGCUGACCGAGAAGCUCACAGGCCAAUCACAGGGCCCUCCGAGGCAGGCUCAUUUCAGGUGCAACGUGAAUGCACAUAACCCAUCGUACAAAAGAUAAGUCAGGGGCCACGGCCUGGAGAUGGGGGUGUAGCAGGUUGGGAGUUCUUGGGACAGAUUUAAAAAUUAGCGGA